rnacentral:rRNA from 1 species
CCUACGGGUGGCUGCAGUGAGGAAUAUUGGGCAAUGGACGAGAGUCUGAACCAGCCAAGUAGCGUGAAGGAUGACUGCCCUAUGGGUUGUAAACUUCUUUUAUAUGGGCAUAAAAUGUUCCACGUGUGGGAUUUCGUAUGUACCAUAUGCAUAAGGAUCGGCUAACUCCGUGCCAGCAGCCGCGGUAAUACGGAGGAUCCGAGCGUUUACCGGAUUUAUUGGGUUUAAAGGGAGCGUAGGUGGAUUGUUAAGUAAGUUGUGAAAGUUUGCGGCUCAACCAUAAAAUUGCAGUUGAAACUGGCAGUCUUGAGUAGAGUAGAGGUGGGCGGAAUUCGUGGUGUAGCGGUGAAAUGCUUAGAUAUCGCGAAGAACUCCGAUUGCGAAGGCAGUUCACUGGACUGCAACUGACGCUGAGGCUCGAAAGUGUGGGGAUCAAACAGGAUUAGAUACCCUGGUAGUC